rnacentral:rRNA from 1 species
GGAAUCUUGCGCAAUGGGCGAAAGCCUGACGCAGCAACGCCGCGUGCGGGAAGAAGGCUUUCGGGCUGUAAACCGCUUUCAGCAGGAACGAAAAUGACGGUACCUGCAGAAGAAGGAGCGGCCAACUAUGUGCCAGCAGCCGCGGUGAUACAUAGGCUUCAAGCGUUGUCCGGAUUUAUUGGGCGUAAAGAGUUCGUAGGCGGUCGAGUAAGUCGGGUGUGAAAAUUCUGGGCUCAACCCAGAGACGCCACCCGAUACUGCUUAACUUGAGUUCGAUAGGGGAGUGGGGAAUUCCUAGUGUAGCGGUGAAAUGCGCAGAUAUUAGGAGGAACACCGGUGGCGAAGGCGCCACUCUGGAUCGAUACUGACGCUGAGGAACGAAAGCAUGGGUAGCAAACAGGAUUAGAUACCCUGGUAGUCCAUGCCGUAAACGGUGGGCACUAGGUGUGGGAUUCUAUUAACGAAUUCCGCGCCGUCGCUAACGCAUUAAGUGCCCCGCCUGGGGAGUACGGUCGCAAGACUAAAACUCAAAUGAAUUGACGG